rnacentral:lncRNA from 1 species
GCGGGACCAGUACCCUGCUCUGCGGGCCCAAGAGCGACGGAACUGGCAGACCGCUCUGGUCCUCUGCUGUGCCACGGAGCGUUAUGUUUCUGCUCUGGGUUUCCUUUUCUUCAGUCAAAAUAAGAGCAGAGGAGGUUCGUGGCGCCGGGGGACCCUUGCUACCGCCUCCGGCCUUCCUCUCCCACAAAGCAGAGCCCCUGCUCCACGAGGCAAUGGCAGAGCAGGUGAGGGGCCGAGGACGUCCGAGUCUACCUCACCGUCUCCGUGGCAGCCAGCCCGAGGACGUGGACUCCGUGGGCGUCACUGCCCACCGGGGGGCCGGCAGGGGGCGUGGGGGAGCCCGAGGAGGCAGGUGGUGCUCGGGGUCCGCGGCCUGCCCCUGGGCGGCGAUCCGGAGGACAGGCUGCGGGGACAGCUCGGCCUGUGGCUCUCGGACCCGUCUCCCCUCGCCCGGGCUUCCUGGUGAGAAACUUCCACGGACCAGAGGGUGUCCGCGCAUCGCCGGCUGGAGUGGCUGGUGGCGCAGCAGCGGCAGCCACGCGAGUUUACGAGAAGCAGCGGCUGGGCGAGGCGGGGGCCGCCCUGUCUCGGGGCCGCCCUGUCUCCAGGCCACCGCCUGAAGCCUGACCGGCAGCCUGGUCCUGUGCCCACGGCUCUUUCGGAUGGCGGCCGCGGAGGCGCAUGCCACCCAGGCCGCGUUCCGCCCGGUGCCGCCCCCAGCUGCGCUACCGCAUGUCUCCUUGGAGCGGAGUGCAGGCACUUCGAGGAACGGAGCGCCCGGGAGAUGGGUGCGGCUGUGAGGCCGGCCGAGGGCCUGGACCCUGCAGCUCUCCACGGACCAACAGCUUACCGAGCUCUUCCACCGCGAGGACCCUGCUAGACCCCCGGUUCAAGGGCAGGAUCGAGACCAUCCUCCCCGAGGGGGUGAACACGGACCACUGGAAGCAGGCUCUCGUGUACAAGGUGAAGGAGCUCAUGCUGUCUGAAUAGCCCGUGCCACCCUCCCCUUCCCUGCAGGGCCCCAAGGCUGGACGGGUGGAGGCCACCCUGAGCAACAAAGGCGCUAGGAGCCCCAGGGCAGAAGGGAAGGGCCCGGGGGAGCCAGUGCAG